AACGCACAUUGCGCCCUCUGGUAUUCCGGGGGGCAUGCCUGUUCGAGCGUCAUUACAACCCUCAAGCUCUGCUUGGUAUUGGGUGUCACCGCUGUGGUGCACCCUAAAAUCAGUGGCGGUGUCACCUGGCUCCUAGCGUAGUAAUACUUCUCGCUAUUGAGCUUAGGUGUAUGCUUGCCAUAACCAUACUCUCAAGGUUGACCUCGGAUCAGGUAGGGAUACCCGCUGAACUUAA
rnacentral:misc_RNA from 1 species